GAUCACACUAGCAAAAUCAAGCCUGAAUAUAACUUUUUUCUCUUCAGAUGUGCCAUCAUUAACUCUGGAGGACCUGGAAAAUUAGAAUCUGUUAGAUGUGGGAGAGUGAGAGGAAGAUAUGUGAUUGUCAGCACUCCAGGCCUUGUUCUCCUCUGAACUAAAACAUGCAUUCAUGGGCCAAACCAGAAACGGAUUUGAGUAAUAUGACAACUAAGCUCUCCAUUUCAAAGCUUGGCAGUAUCCCUGGGAAUGGAAUACCUCCAACAUGGCUCUUCAGCACCAGGUAUAUAACAACCGAUGCCAGUCCUUCCUGAGCACAGAGGAAUACGGAACAACAUGGACUUGGGGAGGUGGAAGAGGAAGACAUUGCUCAAGGAUUAAACAG
rnacentral:lncRNA from 1 species